rnacentral:rRNA from 1 species
CCUACGGGUGGCAGCAGUGAGGAAUAUUGGUCAAUGGCCGUGAGGCUGAACCCGCCAAGUCGCAUGAAGGAAGCAUGAUCUAUGGUUUGUACACUUCUUUUAUAUGGGGAUAAAUGUAUCCACGUGUGGAUAUUUUCAUGUACCCUAUGAAUAAGCAUCGGCUAACUCCGUGCCAGCAGCCGCGGUAAUACGGAGGAUGCGCGCGUUAUCCGGAUUUAUUGGGUUUAAAGGGUGCGUAGGUUGUUUUUUAAGUCAGUGGUGAAAGUUUGUGGCUCAACCAUAAAAUUGCCGUUGAAACUGGCAGACUUGAGUGUGUUUGAGGUAGGCGGAAUGCGUGGUGUAGCGGUGAAAUGCAUAGAUAUCACGCAGAACUCCGAUUGCGAAGGCAGCUGACUAGGCCAUAACUGACACUGAAGCACGAAAGCGUGGGGAUCAAACAGGAUUAGAUACCCUUGUAGUC